rnacentral:rRNA from 1 species
AGAGUUUGAUCAUGGCUCAGAACAAACGCUGAUGGCGUGCUUCAUACAUGCAAGUCGAGCGAGAACCCGGUGCUUGCACCGGUGGAGAGCGGCGAACGGGUGAGUAACACGUAAAUAAUCUGCCCUUGAGUUGGGGAUAACCAUCCUAACGGGUGGCUAAUACCGAAUAGUGUUGGAUUUCCGCAUGGUUAAUUAACAAAAGGCUUCGGCCGCUCGAGGAUGAGUUUGCGUCCCAUUAGCUUGUUGGCGGGGUAACAGCCCACCAAGGCUCAGAUGGGUAGCCGGCCUGAGAGGGUGAUCGGCCACAUUGGGACUGAGAUACGGCCCAGACUCCUACGGGAGGCAGCAGUAGGGAAUUUUGCGCAAUGGAGGCAACUCUGACGCAGCAACGCCAUGUGUGGGAUUAAGCAUUUAGGUGUGUAAACCACUGUCGACAGGGAAUAAUGUCCCGCCCUUGUAGGGGCGUAACAUGUUACGCCCCUACAGGGACGGGAUUGAAUGUACCUGUAAAGGAAGCCCCGGCUAACUUCGUGCCAGCAGCCGCGGUAAUACGAGGGGGGCUAGUGUUGUUCGGAAUUACUGGGCGUAAAGGGAGCGUAGGCGGGAGUUUAAGUCGGAUGUUUAAUCCCGGGGCCUAACCCCGGACUGGCGUCCGAAACUGGAUUUCUUGAAUACGACAGAGGUGGAUGGAAUUCCCGGUGUAGCGGUGGAAUGCGUAGAUAUCGGGAGGAACACCAGCAGCGAAGGCGAUCCACUGGGUUGAUAUUGACGCUGAGGCUCGAAAGUGUGGGGAGCGAACAGGAUUAGAUACCCUGGUAGUCCACACUGUAAUCGAUGAAUACUAGGUGUCGGGCUGGUUAACGGCUCGGGACCGCAAGCUAACGCAUUAAGUAUUCCGCCUGGGGAGUACGGUCGCAAGAUUGAAACUCAAAGGAAUUGACGGGGGCCCGCACAAGCGGUGGAGCAUGUGGUUUAAUUCGAAGCAACGCGAAGAACCUUACCUGGGCUUGACAUGGGAGUGACCGCACGAGAAAUCGUGUUUUACGCCUUCGGGUGUACACUCCGCACAGGUGCUGCAUGGCUGUCGUCAGCUCGUGUCGUGAGAUGUUGGGUUAAGUCCCGCAACGAGCGCAACCCAUAUUUUUAGUUGUCAUGUUAUCUUCGGAUAGCGACCCUCUAGAGAGACUGCCGCGAAUAACGCGGAGGAAGGUGGGGAUGACGUCAAGUCAUCAUGGCCCUUACGUCCAGGGCUACACACGUGCUACAAUGGCCGGUACAGCGGGUAGCGAGUUCGCGAGGACAAGCCAAUCCCUCAAAGCCGGUCUCAGUUCGGAUCGCAGUCUGCAACUCGACUGUGUGAAGGUGGAAUCGCUAGUAAUCGCGGAUCAGCACGCCGCGGUGAAUACGUUCCCGGGCCUUGUACACACCGCCCGUCAAGCCAUGGAAGAAGGGAGCGCUCUAAGUCGUGAUGGCAACCUGCAAAGGAGCCUAGCGCCUAAAGUGAGAUCUUUGACUGGGGCUAAGUCGUAACAAGGUA